rnacentral:lncRNA from 1 species
UUUUAGAAUAAUUACAGUAAGAUAAAAGCGUAUCUUUCUUUAAGUAUUACAAAACUCUCUUUGAUAAAUACAUAGUUUUAAUUAUGGACUACAGCUGUAUUGUAUCGAUAAUGCGUCAAAUAGUUAUGAAAGGUACCAUGUUAAAAACAUACAUUGACAAAUGGUACAAGUAAAACUAUAAUUGUGAAUACAAGUGUACUUUUUCGUCUUCUAAAUUCAAAAUGCUAGGAUGGCUUACUG